rnacentral:tRNA from 7 species
GGAAGCGUGGCAGAGGGGUCGAUUGCACCGGUCUUGAAAACCGGCAACGGGCAACCGUUCGUGAGUUCGAAUCUCACCGCUUCCGCCA